rnacentral:rRNA from 1 species
GUGGGGAAUCUUGCGCAAUGGGCGAAAGCCUGACGCAGCCAUGCCGCGUGGAUGAUGAAGGUCUUAGGAUUGUAAAAUCCUUUCACCGGUGAAGAUAAUGACUGUAGCCGGAGAAGAAGCCCCGGCUAACUUCGUGCCAGCAGCCGCGGUAAUACGAAGGGGGCUAGCGUUGCUCGGAUUUACUGGGCGUAAAGGGCGCGUAGGCGGACAUUUAAGUCAGGGGUGAAAUCCCGCGGCUCAACCUCGGAACUGCCUUUGAUACUGGGUGUCUUGAGUAUGAGAGAGGUGUGUGGAACUCCGAGUGUAGAGGUGAAAUGCGUAGAGAUUCGGAAGAACACCAGUGGCGAAGGCGACACACUGGCUCAUUACUGACGCUGAGGCGCGAAAGCGUGGGGAGCAAACAGGAUUAGAAACCCUGGUAGUCC